rnacentral:rRNA from 1 species
GCUGGCGGCGUGCUUAACACAUGCAAGUCGAACGGUGAAAGCGGAGCUUGCUCCGCCGGAUCAGUGGCGAACGGGUGAGUAACACGUGAGCAAUCUGCCCCAGACUCUGGGAUAAGCGCUGGAAACGGCGUCUAAUACCGGAUACGAGCUACGAAGGCAUCUUCAGUAGCUGGAAAGAACUUCGGUCUGGGAUGAGCUCGCGGCCUAUCAGCUUGUUGGUGAGGUAACGGCUCACCAAGGCGUCGACGGGUAGCCGGCCUGAGAGGGUGACCGGCCACACUGGGACUGAGACACGGCCCAGACUCCUACGGGAGGCAGCAGUGGGGAAUAUUGCACAAUGGGCGCAAGCCUGAUGCAGCAACGCCGCGUGAGGGACGACGGCCUUCGGGUUGUAAACCUCUUUUAGCAGGGAAGAAGCCUUCGGGUGACGGUACCUGCAGAAAAAGCACCGGCUAACUACGUGCCAGCAGCCGCGGUAAUACGUAGGGUGCAAGCGUUAUCCGGAAUUAUUGGGCGUAAAGAGCUCGUAGGCGGUCUGUCGCGUCUGCUGUGAAAACCCGAGGCUCAACCUCGGGCCUGCAGUGGGUACGGGCAGACUAGAGUGCGGUAGGGGAGAUUGGAAUUCCUGGUGUAGCGGUGGAAUGCGCAGAUAUCAGGAGGAACACCGAUGGCGAAGGCAGAUCUCUGGGCCGUAACUGACGCUGAGGAGCGAAAGGGUGGGGAGCAAACAGGCUUAGAUACCCUGGUAGUCCACCCCGUAAACGUUGGGAACUAGUUGUGGGGUCCAUUCCACGGAUUCCGUGACGCAGCUAACGCAUUAAGUUCCCCGCCUGGGGAGUACGGCCGCAAGGCUAAAACUCAAAGGAAUUGACGGGGACCCGCACAAGCGGCGGAGCAUGCGGAUUAAUUCGAUGCAACGCGAAGAACCUUACCAAGGCUUGACAUAUACGAGAACGGGCCAGAAAUGGUCAACUCUUUGGACACUCGUAAACAGGUGGUGCAUGGUUGUCGUCAGCUCGUGUCGUGAGAUGUUGGGUUAAGUCCCGCAACGAGCGCAACCCUCGUUCUAUGUUGCCAGCACGUAAUGGUGGGAACUCAUGGGAUACUGCCGGGGUCAACUCGGAGGAAGGUGGGGAUGACGUCAAAUCAUCAUGCCCCUUAUGUCUUGGGCUUCACGCAUGCUACAAUGGCCGGUACAAAGGGCUGCAAUACCGCGAGGUGGAGCGAAUCCCAAAAAGCCGGUCCCAGUUCGGAUUGAGGUCUGCAACUCGACCUCAUGAAGUCGGAGUCGCUAGUAAUCGCAGAUCAGCAACGCUGCGGUGAAUACGUUCCCGGGUCUUGUACACACCGCCCGUCAAGUCAUGAAAGUCGGUAACACCUGAAGCCGGUGGCCCAACCUUUUGGAGGGAGCCGUCGAAGGUGGGAUCGGUAAUU